AGUAAAUAAGCUGGUGGCCUGUUAUCAUGUCCUCCGUCUUUUUUACAGAAACCUGAGUACAAAGACGAGGGCGUAAGAUCAGCAUGAUGGUGAGCCAAAGCAGCAGGAAACCUGACGGAGCACUGUCAGCAGUAACUGUUUACAGCAACGAUCCAGCAAAGACUAACCGCCACCAGCCAGCUUAAGUAGGAGACCAGAUGAGCCAGAAACAGGUGUGUCUCCUUACUCCCAGCCUGGUGGGCUCCUCGUCGCUGUCACUACAGUUGCCGCAGCAGUCCUGCAGGGGGAGGAAGAGAGCAGAGACGUUACAGGCCAGGAUGGUAGCCGAUCCUAGCCACUCCCCAAAUGCCACACCUUCUGUGCUGUUGGUUGGAUGACUGUCACUGCGCAUUAAUCAACCUAAGCUCAGCUUGCUAAAAUAAGUACAUAUGACCAUGUAACAGCUGUAUUUGGGUCAUCAUGUCAGCUUACAGAUUGUUUUUAAUGCUUGUUGUUUAAUAUCUCUCUGAUAUGUCUGAAUUCUCCAACAAUAGCUGAAGCUGUUUAUUUCUCUCUAAGCAACCUAUCUGCUCAUAUUAGGCAGGCGCCAACGUUAUCAGUGUUUAAAACCACCAGGUGAACCUUUCAGUAACAAACUUUUGGUCAGAAUUAUAAUUUUAUUUAAUUCCUGCUGGUAUUAUCAAUUUUAAAUUGAAAGUUUAUUAAUUUUACAGGACUACUUUUCUCAGUUUAUUCAAUUUUAUUUCUACUCCUUGUUUAACUUAUGAUUGUUUUUCCAUUAUUACUCAGCUAAGUUUGUUUCUUUAUUGUAUUUGACGGAUCAUAUUAUCUUUUUAAUUCCCUUUGCAGAUGACUUAGCGUUACAUUAUAUAGUUUUGUGACUGUUUCCUCUGUGGCAGCUCACACUCUUGUAUUGAUGGAUGCUGGUAAAUAAAAGAGUGGUGAUGUUUUUGAGGUGAGGGAGUUCGCUCACAUGUCUGCCAAACAGUCGCUGCAGGAGUCCCUGUUUGGGUGUAGGGGACGGCUGCCCUCUCCAGUCCAGGUCAGGAGGAACCGCCCCGUCCUGGUAGAAGACAUUCAGCUCUGUGAAACACUCUGUCUCGAUCAUCUGCGGGACAAAGGGAAAGAAACAUCAGAAUCUGUGCAACAGAUUCAGCAAUUCAGCAUCAACAUUGUCAGAACAUCUGGCUGCAUGGCUUUGUUCUGGGCCCUGUUCCAGGAAGGUUUAGCUAACAGCUCUGAGUUUGUGAACCCUGAGAUGAGGGGAAACUCCAGAAAACUUCAACAAACUGAGUUUCUCUUUGACUCCUCCUCCCCUGCACCUGAACCACCUGUCUGAGUCUCAGCUGGGGAAUGAAUGAAUUUGAAGUUUACGUUAUUACAUCCAUUGAAAUUCCAGUUAGAUGAUAGUCAUUCAUAGUCAUUCAGUCGUCAGUAUUAAAGGACAGAGACAGCAAUUACAUCACAGACUUAUUAUCUGCGCAGUCUCCAUCUUUCUAACUCUGAGACUGUUGGCAUUAAUGCAGCUGUCAGCUUCCCUGCACUGCAAACAUUUACUGUAUGUUACUGUUUAAAUAAAAACUAAAGCUUUUGAUCUAACACACUGAUCAGUGAUCAAUCAUUUGUAUCACAAAUCAGUCACAUUGAUGGAAACAUCUGUCACAGUAGGAUCUUGGCAACAAUGUGAAUAUUUGUGUGAAGAUGAGGCUGUAACAAAAUUAUUAAGCCUUGAAAAUGGAACUAAAUGGAUUUAAAAUGAGUUUUAAAAGCAGCUGCAGUCUGAUUGUAAUCUGAUUACAUUUCAUGUUGAAAUUUGUUCAUAGAUUGAGAUUCAAUCAUUAAAUCCUGUCAACAUUUUAAAAGUCCAGCAUCUGAAAUUCAAAGUCUGAAUCUCAACAUAUUUUCCACUGAAAUCACCUAAACUGGUCUCAACAGAUCAACCCCAAACCAGUAUCACAGUCUCAGGAAACUGUGUCUGUGUCCAGGUCAGGGUCCACUUGCAUGGCAGGAUGGAUCCAAAAUAGAUCAGGAUCAGGGAUAUGAACUUUGAUUUUGUCUAUUAUGAUGACAGAGUGGCCCAAGUUGAUUGAAAUUACUCUUUUCCCCUCCUGCUUUUUUAAUAUAAACAUUACGGUCAGCGCCGACGUGGUCAUAUCCCUCGGUUCUGGGUCCACUGGAUUAAAAUGGAGGCUCCACUGCCAUGGUGAAUCCUAGUGUUGGAGCUCCACUGAUGAUGGCUUUCACACACUUGUUAACUGAAGGUGAUCAUACUCAGAGUUGAUUGGACUAACUCUGAUCAGCUGUUCUGGAACAGGAAACUCAGAGUUUUAAACUCUGCUUCCUGGAAUAGGGCCCUGGACAGCAGCAGCUAGUGAAGCAGGCAUCAAUGCCAACAGAUGUGACACUAAGUCAGAAACAGCAUGAAAAAGGGAUGUGGGUUGAAGAUUGGUUGCAAAGCAGGCUGCAGAGUUUGGGCUUGACUUUGUGGCCUGCCUGAAU